ACGAACAGGCACGUAACCGCUUGGAGACCGUCUGGAGUGUGUCUGAAAUUGAUAAAAUUGGAGAUGGAGUUUUUUUUUCACAUCUCUUUGCUCAUUUACAAGGAAGCAGACUGUUGGAAACGGGAAUUUCCUCUCUCCACCCGAAACGCCUUCGCCUACGAGUCGCUACGCUCGGCCAAAAUAAUUUGUAGAUAAACGCUGUGAAAGUUUUUUUUUCUUCUGCAGUCUAUCAGCAGACAGCUCUUUAUGCACAGGGGACCAGCCUUCAGAGUUCAAGAGGAGUGCACCAUCCAGAAGGCAGACUGAAGUAGCUGAGAAAGGCCUGUCCCAAACCUGAUCCAGUGUCUGACUAAAAUGAUUGGAAUUGCAAUUAGAAAGGAAAUCUGUGUUUUCAUGCAGCCUGUCAUGCAUUCAUGCCUUCAACGCUGGAGUGUGUUCACCCAAAUAUGUAGAGAGCUGGUGCUGGACUAGGAGGAAGAUGUCAUGCUAAGGAUGGGUUUUGGUGAUGAUGUUGAUGCAGCAUCGAGCUCUCACUUUGUGCCUCUGUCAGCUAUGAUGCGUAACCACAGAGUGAGUGACAGGCCAGUCCCCGGGGAGAGCAGGGGGCCUGAGGUGAGUCAGAUGUAUCCUUGACCCUGUCUAGCAGUGUGUCAGCAAACAACACAAACUCUGUAAAGAAGGCCAGCAAUGGCAUGACUGUAUAUUGUACAUCUUCAUUUAGUAUGUAGAAGAAGACUGUAGGAAUCAUUUUUUAAGAAACACAACCACCUUGACAGUUUGUGUUUAAGGGACUUGGUUUUCAUUGCAUAUACUCCCUCAAUUUAUGAAUAAUGAAAUGAUAAUGCAGCAUAUUACAUUACAGCUGAUACCUUUGCUCGCAUCUGUAUUUCCAACAGAGUCUUUGCUUUGUGAUAUUGUUAAGAGCCUGUCUAAAACAUUAACUCAAUUUUGCUUUAUAUUCAAUGAAAAAUGUUUACUUCGGUGAAAUACAGAUCAAGCAAAAAUGCUCAAUGUCAGAACUUUGAAAAAAGAUGCAGUAAAGUUUACGUCUGUGUCAGCCUGUGGAGUCAGGACUUGUUUUUAAAGAUAUUUCUUAUAUUUUAAGAUGCAAAGCUGUCAAAGUGGUGCAGAAAGAGAUAACCACCAAUAUUAAAUAACUGAAAAUUCCAAGCUUGGAUUUAAGAAAACCUUUAUUAGAACACCUACAGUACAUGAUAUGUGGCCAAACAACUGAAGAAUAACCUGUGUUUAGUGAAACAAUAACUGAAGGUAAUCUAACUUCACAGAUAAUGUAAUAUGUAAUUAGAGUUGCUUGAUAAACUGACUGGCUGAUCAGUGCUAAAUCAAACUUUCAUCCAACCCAAAUGAUGAAGAAAUGUGUGGAGAAAGUGUGAAUUGCAACUUAACAUCAGUCUUACUUUCGCAUUACUUGGCUUAUUUUGAUUUGCUUUAAAAUCCAUACGACAUGGAAAUUAAGACGUGAAAACGUCCUCCAUAUUGCUCAAACUAUAGUCUGAUUACAGGUGCUAUCAUUAUGAAACAAGUGGUUGAUUAAUCAAUUGUCUAGUCAGUCAACAUAAACGAACACAAAUUCUGAUAAUUAGUGAAUGGUUUAUGUCAUUUAGCAAGUGAAAAUGCCAAAUGGUUCCUGUUUUCAGCUUCUGAACUGAGGAUUUUCUGUUUUUCUUUGUUUUACAUCAUGGAAACACUUCAAAUCCCUUAAUUUAGUGUUUAUAAGCAGUAUACAAACAUUUAAUGAAUGGUUUAUAACCCUAUAACACACUAUAAUAUAGUUGUAAGCAGAUAUAUGUUUAUCAAUGCAUUUGUAUAAACAGAUAAUUAAUGAUAAUAUAGUAGAACACAGUUACAAUAAUAUAAAAUAUGUGUUCAUUAGAGAAGGUAUAAUUGAUGACAAAUAUUCUGCAUUAAUAAACACCUAAAUGUCUUUAUCUGCUUAUAACUAUAUUAGUUUGUUAUGAAGAUGCAUUCAAUUUUUAUAUAGUUUAUAAAUGCUAAAUAAGGAGAUGUAAAGAAAGGUUUUACUUAAAUCAUUAUGAAUUGAAUUUAUGGAUUUUGUGGUAUAGUCCACACAAAAGAAGCUAUUUCUAACAUCGCCUUGGUCCCUGUGAAAUCAUUAUGGGCAUUUUUUCUCAAAUUUAUGCCAUUUUAUAGACUAAACAAAAAAUCAAUUAAUGGGAGAUGUUACCAACAGAUACAUUGAGAAUAAAAAUAAUUGUGAAUUGGAGCCCUAAUUGUCUUCAGCAUGAACAUAAAGUUAUAAAUAACCAAAAUCUGUAGAUGCUUCAUAGGCUAAAAUAAACAUUAAUUGUUCUGCUCUGUGAAAUAUAUCUGCUUCCACCUUCCAAAAAGAUAAAAUAUCAGUAUAUGAUGUUGAAAGUUAGUUUUUUUUAUAGUAUUUGUUGUUUGAUCUGUUGUCCUUGUGUCUGUGUUCAGUCUCAGUGUAGCAGUAAGCUAUUUUACCAAAGCCGUAGUCAGUGUUAUAUCAAAAGCAUUCUGUAAAAAAUCAUGAUUGAACUCAAAAUGUAACUGAAAUAAUUGAUGCAACCUGUGUCAUCAUUUGAACGUAAGCCAAUUCUUUAUGAACAGAUAUUUCUUAUGAUGUUUGCUCAUCCUUGUUUCUCCU